rnacentral:lncRNA from 1 species
GGAGCAGCGUGAGAAGGAAGAAGCAAAAAUACUCCAAAGGUUUCAUCUCUUGAGGAGAGUGGGGAAGAAAUCACCGGAGAAGUCUUCUUCAGGCGACUGUUCGAUGAACUCCAAAACAGUGCUUCUCAAACUGUGAUGUGCAAUUCACCCACGAUCUUGUUAAAAUGCACAUUCCGGCUCAGUAUGUUUGAGGCAGACCUUGAGAUGCUGCAUUUCCAACAAGCUCCCAGGCGAUGCUGCUGUGGCUGGUCCAUGGGUCACACUUCGUGCUGCAAGGAUCUAAAGGCAAAUCGUACUAGUCUAUGCAGGCUGUGAACUCAGGGAAUUAACUGGAGGACAAUGAAGGGCAAACCCAAUGGAAUCAAAGGGACGUCAAAAUCCAAAAUCCAAG